UACGGAGGGUGCGAGCGUUGUCCGGAAUCACUGGGCGUAAAGGGCGCGUAGGUGGCGUGGGCAGUCAACGGUGAAAGUUCGGGGCUCAACCCUGAAUCGGCCGUCGAUACUCCCGGGCUUGAGCACUGUAGAGGCAGAUGGAAUUCCGGGUGUAGCGGUGGAAUGCGUAGAGAUCCGGAAGAACACCGGUGGCGAAGGCGGUCUGCUGGGCAGUAGCUGACACUGAGGCGCGACAGCGUGGGGAGCAAACAGG
rnacentral:rRNA from 1 species